rnacentral:rRNA from 1 species
GACGAACGCUGGCGGCGUGCUUAACACAUGCAAGUCGAGCGGUAAGGCCCUUUCGGGGGUACACGAGCGGCGAACGGGUGAGUAACACGUGGGUGACCUGCCCUCAGCUCUGGGAUAAGCCUGGGAAACUGGGUCUAAUACCGGAUAUGACUCCAUGACGCAUGUUGUGGGGUGGAAAGCCUUGUGCGGCUGAGGAUGGGCCCGCGGCCUAUCAGCUUGUUGGUGGGGUGANGGCCUACCAAGGCGACGACGGGUAGCCGGCCUGAGAGGGCGACCGGCCACACUGGGACUGAGACACGGCCCAGACUCCUACGGGAGGCAGCAGUGGGGAAUCCUGCGCAAUGGGCGAAAGCCUGGCGCAGCGACGCCGCGUGAGGGAUGACGGCCU